UAUAGAAUUUUAUAUUAACUUUACCUAGCGGUUAAUGCUGGUUUUUUGUUAAUAUUUGGUUGGGAGGAUUAUUAAAUUUAACAAACUUUAUAUCAUUAUAAACUUUGAUUUAAGAAAAUAUAAUGAUCUUCAAUUUGAAAUAGUUAGAGUAAAUUACCUUAGGGAUAACAGCGUAAUAUUUUUUUAUAGACCUUAUAGAAAAAAAUGCUUGCGACCUCGAUGUUGAAUUAAGAUAAAUUUUAAAUGC
rnacentral:rRNA from 1 species